rnacentral:rRNA from 1 species
AUUGAACGCUGGCGGCAUGCCUUACACAUGCAAGUCGAACGGCAGCACGGGUGCUUGCACCUGGUGGCGAGUGGCGAACGGGUGAGUAAUACAUCGGAACAUGUCCUGUGGUGGGGAAUAGCCCGGCGAAAGCCGGAUUAAUACCGCAUACGAUCUACGGAUGAAAGCGGGGGACCUUCGGGCCUCGCGCUAUAGGGUUGGCCGAUGGCUGAUUAGCUAGUUGGUGGGGUAAAGGCCUACCAAGGCGACGAUCAGUAGCUGGUCUGAGAGGGCGACCAGCCACACUGGGACUGAGACACGGCCAAGACUCCUACGGGAGGCAGCAGUGGGGAAUUUUGGACAAUGGGCGAAAGCCUGAUCCAGCAAUGCCGCGUGUGUGAAGAAGGCCUUCGGGUUGUAAAGCACUUUUGUCCGGAAAGAAAUCCUUGGCCCUAAUACGGUCGGGGGAUGACGGUACCGGAAGAAUAAGCACCGGCUAACUACGUG